AAUUUCUUCAAAAAUCAUCGAUCGAUUGAUCAAUUUACUCUUCAAUACGUCAAUUUUUCCCCAGGAAUUGUAUAUUUUUGAAGUUCUUUUUGGGACCCAAUUGAUUCGGGAUUGAGGAGUAGUUGAUUGAUUGUUUGGUGAGUUGAACUGUGAAUAUUUUUGCUGCAACCAAUUCCUGUGCAAAAUUGAAAAUGUUUAAGCGAUUACUUGGAAAACCCAAACAAGAAACAAAUGCUCUAGCAACAUUAGACAAGUUAAAUGAGACGCUUGAAAUGCUUGAGAAAAAGGAGUCAGUUUUAUUGAAGAAGGCUACUGCUGAGGUUGAAAGAGCAAAGGAAUUUACUAGAGCAAAAAACAAAAGGGCUGCAAUACAAUGUUUGAAAAGAAAAAGGCUCUAUGAACAGCAAGUCGAACAGCUUGGAAAUUUCCAAUUGCGUAUCCAUGAUCAGAUGAUACUGCUAGAAGGUGCAAAAGCCAUAACAGAAACCGUUGAUGCUCUUAGAACUGGAGCAGCUGCAAUGAAA
rnacentral:misc_RNA from 1 species